GAGCGCCGUAGUAAUACGGAGCGGCAGACGGGAGAGUAACACGUGGGAACGUGCCCUUCAGUUCGGAACAACCCAGGGAAACUUGGGCUAAUACCGGAUACGUCCGUAAGGAGAAAGAUUUAUCGCUGAAGGAUCGGCCCGCGUCUGAUUAGCUAGUUGGUGGGGUAAUGGCCCACCAAGGCGACGAUCAGUAGCUGGUCUGAGAGGAUGAUCAGCCUCACUGGGACUGAGACACGGCCCAUACUCCUACGGGAGGCAGCAGUGGGGAAUAUUGGACAAUGGGCGCAAGCCUGAUCCAGCCAUGCCGCGUGGAUGAUGAAGGCCCUAGGGUUGUAAAGUCCUUUCGGCGGGGAAGAUAAUGACGGUACCCGCAGAAGAAGCCCCGGCUAACUUCGUGCCAGCAGCCGCGGUAAU
rnacentral:rRNA from 1 species